rnacentral:rRNA from 1 species
UACGAACUGUGCAAACGUUAUUCGGAAUCACUGGGCUUAAAGGGUGCGUAGGCGGCUUGUCAAGUAGGGUGUGAAAGCCCCCGGCUUAACCGGGGUAACGUGCGCCCUAAACCUAGGCGAGCUGGAGUGAGAUAGGGGUGUGUGGAACUUCCGGUGGAGCGGUGAAAUGUGUUGAUAUCGGAAGGAACGCCGGUGGCGAAAGCGACACACUGGGUCUCAACUGACGCUGAGGCACGAAAGCCAGGGGAGCAAACGGGAUUAGAAACCCUUGUAGU